rnacentral:rRNA from 1 species
UACAGAGGUCCCGAGCGUUGUUCGGAUUCACUGGGCGUAAAGGGUGCGUAGGUGGCGACGCAAGUCUGGUGUGAAAUCCCGGGGCUCAACCCCGGAACUGCACUGGAUACUGCGUUGCUUGAGCACUGGAGAGGGAACUGGAAUUUACGGUGUAGCAGUGAAAUGCGUAGAUAUCGUAAGGAAGACCAGUGGCGAAGGCGAGUUCCUGGACAGUUACUGACACUGAGGCACGAAGGCCAGGGGAGCAAACGGG